rnacentral:rRNA from 1 species
UACAGAGGGUGCGAGCGUUGUCCGGAAUCACUGGGCGUAAAGGGCGCGUAGGCGGUCUGGUAAGCGUGUGGUGAAAGCUCGGGGCUCAACCCCGAGUCGGCCGUGCGAACUGCUGGACUGGAGCAUGUCAGAGGCAGGCGGAAUUCCGGGUGUAGCGGUGGAAUGCGCAGAUAUCAGGAGGAACACCAAUAGCGAAGGCAGCUCGCUGGGACGUUACUGACACUGAGGCGCGAAAGCGUGGGGAGCGAACAGG